GGGAGAAUGGUGGACACAGAUUCGUGUGUCCGAUGGACGCAGGCCUUCCUCCCAAGGGGGUUUGAUGGGUGUUCGUGCCACCGCCCGGAGCCCCAGGAAGGAAGAGGUGAUGCCAGUUCUCAUUUCAGUGAGAAAUGAGAAGAUAGCGAAGUGGAGGCCGCGGCUCUCAACCAUCUGGGAGACCUGCAUUGAGUC